rnacentral:rRNA from 1 species
AGGGGUUCUGAGAGGAAGGUCCCCCACAUUGGAACUGAGACACGGUCCAAACUCCUACGGGAGGCAGCAGUGAGGAAUAUUGGUCAAUGGACGAGAGUCUGAACCAGCCAAGUAGCGUGCAGGAAGACGGCCCUAUGGGUUGUAAACUGCUUUUAUAAGGGAAUAAAGUGAGUCUCGUGAGACUUUUUGCAUGUACCUUAUGAAUAAGGACCGGCUAAUUCCGUGCCAGCAGCCGCGGUAAUACGGAAGGUCCGGGCGUUAUCCGGAUUUAUUGGGUUUAAAGGGAGCGUAGGCCGGAGAUUAAGCGUGUUGUGAAAUGUAGAUGCUCAACAUCUGAACUGCAGCGCGAACUGGUUUCCUUGAGUACGCACAAAGUGGGCGGAAUUCGUGGUGUAGCGGUGAAAUGCUUAGAUAUCACGAAGAACUCCGAUUGCGAAGGCAGCUCACUGGAGCGCAACUGACGCUGAAGCUCGAAAGUGCGGGUAUCGAACAGGAUUAGAUACCCUGGUAGUCCGCACGGUAAACGAUGGAUGCCCGCUGUUGGUCUGAAUAGGUCAGCGGCCAAGCGAAAGCAUUAAGCAUCCCACCUGGGGAGUACGCCGGCAACGGUGAAACUCAAAGGAAUUGACGGGGGCCCGCACAAGCGGAGGAACAUGUGGUUUAAUUCGAUGAUACGCGAGGAACCUUACCCGGGCUUGAAUUGCAGAGGAAGGAUUUGGAGACAAUGACGCCCUUCGGGGCCUCUGUGAAGGUGCUGCAUGGUUGUCGUCAGCUCGUGCCGUGAGGUGUCGGCUUAAGUGCCAUAACGAGCGCAACCCCUCUCCUUAGUUGCCAUCAGGUUAAGCUGGGCACUCUGGGGACACUGCCACCGUAAGGUGUGAGGAAGGUGGGGAUGACGUCAAAUCAGCACGGCCCUUACGUCCGGGGCUACACACGUGUUACAAUGGCAGGUACAGAGAGACGGUCCCUUGCAAAAUGGAUCAAAUCCUUAAAGCCUGUCUCAGUUCGGACUGGGGUCUGCAACCCGACCCCACGAAGCUGGAUUCGCUAGUAAUCGCGCAUCAGCCAUGGCGCGGUGAAUACGUUCCCGGGCCUUGUACACACCGCCCGUCAAGCCAUGAAAGCCGGGGGCGCCUAAAGUCCGUGACCGUAAGGAGCGGCCUAGGGCGAAACUGGUAAUUGGGGCUAAGUCGUAACAAGGUAGCCGUACCGGAAGGUGCGGCUG